AUGAAGCCACACAUUGCACAUGUGGGACAGCAGAUCCAGGUCCGGGACAGGAUAGGGGACAGUGGAUGGGGGGAGGGGGGAAAGAACGUCCCCGCGUCCCCCAGCGGCCCCCCUCCCCAGCAGCCCACUCCCGGGUCCCUCCAGGGUCUGCCCCGCUCGCCAGUUCUAGCCCCGCUCGGGCCCCGCCCGGCCCCGCCCUCUCCCCACAGCUCUGGGCAGACCCGCCCGCCCGAGCCGGAGUUACAAGAGCCGCCUCCGCGCACGGGGGCCCGGCCACUCGGCGCUGCUCUGCCGCGGGGACUGCACCGCCCGCCCUGCCAGACCCGCCCGGAACGGGGCUCGUCGCCGCCAGUAGCCGCAGCACCGCAGCCUCGGGCCUCGCGCCGGCUAUGGCUGUGCCCUGGGGCUGAGCCCUCAGGUAGGGGCGCCAGGCGCACCGUGGCGCCAUCGGGGUCCGGGGCACCAAAGGCGGGUGGGGGGAGGUGGGUUGCGGGGCUCCGGCAGGGCGCGUUGUUGGGAGUGUCACUGAAGAUUCAAGCAGUUUGGAGAAAGCGGGGCCACCCGGGGAGGCGACGCGUCGCUCUCGGGGAGCGGAGUUCUGCCUCGAGUUGGGGCUCAAGUUGGUUAAAGUUGGAAAAUCGCUUCGAAGUGCUUUGCUCCACUCUGUAUUUCUACGGAGGGCGGACUGUUGGCUCCACUACAGGCUGGGUGCUCUGUUCCGGGCCUGGUGGCCUCUGUCCCACCUCCUCUCCCUGCAUGGGGCGGUGCUCAGGGGCUGCUUCUUUCGUAUCCCAUGUUUACUGGAGGGGAAAUUUCCGAGAUCGCCGCCGCGCCUCCGCGACCCCGCGCCGUGCGCCCCCUCGGCUGUCCUUCUGCGCUCUCUGCACCUCCGCCCCUAACCGCGUCCCGAGUCGUCCAGGCCCCACCCUGUUCUGUACCACAAGCCCCUCAGCCUCCUCCAGCUGCCCCGCCCUAGCCUUGCCCCUCCGUGUUCCCCGCUCCAGAAAACCUUCUUCCUUUCGGGCCGCGGAGCCUGGAAGUUUGCAAUGCGCCUCUCAGCGGGAUGGGUGGGGAGGGGGACAUAAUUAG
rnacentral:lncRNA from 1 species